rnacentral:lncRNA from 1 species
GCUAGAUUUCUCAAUUCCCUUCCGUCUUUAUGUCUGUGAUCCUAUGAUCAAAUGCUUGUGUUUGGGCCACUUCCACAAAGUCAGUCCAUAGGGAAAACUCUGGGCCAGACAGGGAAACAAAAGCUUCCAGAGCCAAUAAAUCACAUGUAGCCAUCACACUUUAUUUCCACUGUGGCCAAUGGUCAGUUGUUCCAUGGGGAAAGGAUUUAGCUGUUUUGUCAUUUCCCAGGACAGGCAAACCCAGGGGAAGGGGCAGGGAGACAUGAGAAGGGGAACAAGACAACUAAGAUGCUUGAGAUCGCUUGAGCCUACGAACAGCAGCACUGGUGUCCCCUUCAGUGGCAAUCAGAGCCUGAAGGUUGGCAUUUUGGUUUCGGAAGCCCAUUGCUCUCAGGCGCUCCAUCUGUGGGCGGAAGCGAACUUCAGGAGGCUGCAUUUGCUGGGAGUAGCCUCCUGCAAGAGCCUGAAGACGCUGCAGGAUGGCAAUCGGCUGGUAGCGUGCAUCACUCUUGCCCCUGGUGGGCAUGCUAGAAGAAUCCUUGCUCUGAGUCCCUGCUGUGGCUGUCUCUGGGAAGGCAUUCCGCCCCAAGCCCCACAGGUAUGGAGUGAGCCAUGGCAACAAGGCUGGAGCUUCUGUGGACAACAUCUGGAGACCUUGCUCAAUCUGCAGUAGUGCCUGAGAUGCUUUGGGGUUUGCCAGGGCUAGCAGCAGGUCUGACAGCUGCAUCUGCUGCAGAAUGGUGGGUAGCUGUUGUCGCAUCUGCUCAUAGAGCUGAGGUGAUCCCAUGAACAGCAUCAUCUGCGCUGCUAGAUGUGGGUUCUGCACCAGCAACUGGAGCAUGUUUCCUGUAAAUCGAGACCCAUUGUUCAUCUCUUCUUGCUGUUGUGGAUCAUCUACCAGGUUCUGGAAGGUUUUGUCUGUCUUGCUCUGUUCAGGAGAUUCAGCACUGGUCAGAGCAGGAAUGCCUUGGAUGCCACUGGAGCGUGCCCGGCUUUGACUUUUGGAAGUGGCAGAUGGGGCAUUGGUCAUGGGGGCAGCAGAAGUAGGAGCAGGAAAAGGAAAAGGAACGGGAACUGGGCCUCUAGGGAGAGAGCCAUGUGAGGAAUGGUGCAUAACUCGGGGCACAGAGGUUGAAUCCUGCUUCUCUGAGGUCUUAUGUUUGGAGAUGCCUCCAACUGAUGUAGGCCCACGCAUGAGCCCUGAGAAAAGAUUGUCCCGCAAAGGAUCCUGCAUACCACCAAAUAAUGAAUCAGGGAUUUCUGUAUAGUUUCGCCCCAGGGCAUUGUCCCCUCCAGGGUUUGUCUCAUUACCCCAGAACCCUUCUGGGGUUCGUGGCAUAUCUGGUCUCUGAAUCAUCUCUUGCAUCAUGGCUGGAUUCCUGGCCAGGUCAAGGGUAUGCCGCAGAAUUUCUGAGUUGUCAAGGAUGUGGCCUACCUCAGGAUUCUGUUUCAUCAGCUGCUGUACCUCGGGGUGGUCCAUGAUCAACUGCCUCAUCAACUCAGUGUUGGAGAGGAGCUGUUGGAUGACUGGACUCUCAAGCAUCUGGGCCAUCCUCUCUGGAGUGUGUGUGGUGUGUGGCUGUGGAACCUGACUUGGGGCUUUGGGCUUCUCAGGCCCAAGAGGUGGUAUUAGGGACAGUGUGUUUCGGUUAGUGCAGCUGGGCUGCCGCCCCCCACUGCCCACUACCUUUCCUAUUCCCUCACGAGGGCAAUUCUCCAGGGCAGGUGGCCCAUGGGGCCCCGAGGACUGGGAUGAGGGACCAUUCUUGGACUUGAUGACCAGAUGGACUGUGUAGCCAUCCAAGAUACCCCUCUGGUACAGAGUGUCCUGAUCUUUCAGGAUGCGGCCCACAAAUACCAGCACUAGCUGGUCAACAUUGCACUUGAACUGGGCCGAGAUGGCCUCUUUGAACUGACUCACGGUAGUAUCGUCGGACACCACAAAUUCCUCCUGGGCAUUAGGCGUCUUCACCAAUACCCUGAUGAUACUUGGGGAGACAUCUUUGCCUGAGGGCUGGCGUGAAGACUGCCCACUCUGGGCCAUCUGCAUAGGCACUGGAACUUGGGAGUCAGAGGCGAUGUGGGGCAUGGGGGCUGGUGGACAGGCAGGCAAGGGUGAAAGGGAUAGGGGUGGGUGAAUAUGGCAACUGACCCCGUCUCAGAUGAUUACUACUCAGGCUGCUAGGUCUGGGUAUCGCUGGGUCCCCUGAGUAUUAGGGACGGGGUGUGGGCUGGGUGUUGAUGGGAUGUUCUGCCACCCACCCCAGCUCUCCAGAUGUGGCCUGGGCUGGCUACUGGCUCAUACUUGGUACAAAGUGAGUCUGGGUAUUUUGCUCCCCUUGUCCCUGCCCUGCCCCCACAGGGUAGGCCUCCCCAUCCCAGGGGCAUUGUGAAAUCAUCCUUGACCUCAUAGUUCUAGCUGGGGAGGGGCAAGGUAAAGGGAUACCUAUAGAAAGAAAGCAAAGAGGGGAGAAAAUUAACCACUCUCAGUCAUUGUCAUUAG